rnacentral:lncRNA from 1 species
ACUGAAGUGACCAGAGAGCAUUAUUCUCUGACAACAUUUUGUUCUAUAAUUAUUUAUAUCUGUUCUCUCGCAGGCAAAAUGGGAGUCCUUGAAAGUAAUUGGUGCAAAGCUGAACAGUGGAUCAGUUCUUGCAUGCCUCUAUGUUAAAUAAAUGUGCCACAAGCUUGGAGACAAAGCAGUAUCCUGGCUACAGAUAAAGACCAGUGGAAGGAAGUGCCAAGGAUGAUGUGGAGACCUAUGAACAAAGGAUUGUGCCUUUGCUGACUAUUGAUGUGC